GCUGGGGGGGCACAGCCCCAUUCCAGGCACGAGGCCACCCCAUCCCUCCCCUGCUGCUCCAGCUCUCCCUCUCCCCUUCCCCAGCCUCAUUAAUCAAACCCCAGCGCUUAAUUACAGCCUGCUGAGUGCUGUGGCUGCUUCCUGGUGCCUGCUGACACCGUGGGGGCAAUCCUGACCCCCCCAUCCCUGUAGGAAAGGUGGGGUGCAGGGAAUUUUCUGCAGGAUUUGGGUUGUGGCUCAUCGGCGCCAUAAAGGGAUCUUCACACAGAGCUCAGGAAAGAGUAAACCCAAGCAGUGGAGCUGGCAAAGUCAUCCCUGGGAAUCUUGGCCUCUCCGAGGAGGGCUGGGGACAGAUGGCUCCACUCUGGGGUGUCCCCGAGCUGCUGGCAGGUCCCACAAGGGGUGAAGAGGGACAGGGAUGCUCAGCCCGAUGCCAGUAAAAAAUAUCCAAGCUCCUUGCUGGCCCAUGAAGUGACCCGGGCGGGUGGCACAGCCCCUGCUCCUGCCGUAGCCACCGCUGCCACACCAGGCACUGAGGUCUGCUGGCCAUGGGCAACCUGAUAAAGGUAUUGGGCAAAGAUUUAGAAAACUGUCCUCAUUUUUUCCUGGAUUUUGAAAGUAAGUCCCAUGGGCAGGGUGGGCAUGGGGAGGGCACCAGGGCUGCCACCGCAGCUGCUGUGCAGAGGAUGGGGACAAGGCACAGUGUCCCCGAGCAGCCCUGUGUCCCCAGGUGCUUUGGGGCCCUGAAAAAGUCUCCAAAAUGGGAACAGGGGACUGGGACUCCAUCCCUUAGAGUGGGGCAGGUGUCCUGGCAGAGUGUGGGACGCAGGAUGCAGCAGGAGCUGGCCCGGGAGCACCUCAGGCACACACCCAGUGCUGUUAGCUGAUGGCACUGAUGUCCCAUCAGUGACAGUGCCAGGACAGGGACAGGCUGCGGGCUGAG